rnacentral:rRNA from 1 species
AUGUAUCUAUUGGUUUAUGUUGAUGAUAUCAUCCUUGUCAGUUCCUCUGAUGCUGCUGCUGAUCGCCUUGUGUCUGCAUUGAGUGAGGAGUUUGCUGUCAAGGAUUUGGAUGCUCUGCAUUACUUCCUUGGUUUGGAGGUGUCACGGUCUUCUACUGGGUUGACUCUGACUCAGAAGAAGUAUUCCUUGGAUUUGUUGCAUCAUGCUGGGAUGCUCAAAUGCAAACAUGCUCUCACUCCGAUGUCUGCGACUGAUCGGUUGUCUGCCCUUGAUGGAGAUCCUCUUUCCAGUGAAGUCUUGUUGGCGGUCUGCAAUAUCUCACUAUCACCAGGCCUGAUGUCUCUUAUGCAGUCAACCGUGUGUGCCAGUACCUUCAUGCACCUCGUACCACUCAUCUCUCGGCAGUUAAGCGCAUUCUGCGGUAUGUCUCUUCCACUGCUUCGUAUGGUCUGCUCCUUCAGUCUGCACCAUCUUGGAACUUUCGGCUUUCUCUGA